rnacentral:lncRNA from 1 species
UAUUACAUUUAUCCAUCCAACACAUGUCAUUCGAUUACAUUUGAAUCAAACACAAGUUGUCUAUUACAUUUACCUUCAUUUACCCAUUCAUUUACAUCAUGUUUUUCUUUAACCAAAAUACAUGAAUUACAUCAUUUUUACAUUACUAUUUCAACAUACAAAAGUUGAGUAUACCAAAUAUAGGGUAUGCCUAUAAACUCCGAGGCCGCUAU